rnacentral:rRNA from 1 species
AGUGAACGCUGGCGGUAGGCCUAACACAUGCAAGUCGAACGGCAGCACAGAGGAGCUUGCUCCUUGGGUGGCGAGUGGCGGACGGGUGAGGAAUACAUCGGAAUCUACUAUGUCGUGGGGGAUAACGUCGGGAAAGUUACGCUAAUACCGCAUACGACUUACGGGUGAAAGAAGGGGAUCUUCGGACCUUGCGCGAUUGAAUGAGCCGAGGUCGGAGUAGCUAGUUGGCGGGGUAAAGGCCCACCAAGGCGACGAUCCGUAGCUGGUCUGAGAGGAUGAUCAGCCACACUGGAACUGAGACACGGUCCAGACUCCUACGGGAGGCAGCAGUGGGGAAUAUUGGACAAUGGGCGCAAGCCUGAUCCAGCCAUACCGCGUGGGUGAAGAAGGCCUUCGGGUUGUAAAGCCCUUUUGUUGGGAAAGAAAUCCAUCUGGUUAAUACCCGGGUGGGAUGACGGUACCCAAAGAAUAAGCACCGGCUAACUUCGUGCCAGCCGCCGCGGUAA